UCAAAUUCUCCCUCACUUCCUCCACCAUGAAACCCUCUCAACCUUCCCAAGCAAAGUACUUGCAAGAAAAUGACAUCUCCCAAAAAUGCCGAGACCUCCUUCCCUCGCUCCCUCACGAAAAAGGCUGGAUCACCCCCUCUCUCUACCAAUACCAAGGCUUCUGGGUUGCCCCGAAGCUCUUGAACGGCGUCCUCGCGUGCCAAGACAACUUCCGAGUCCAAGAAACCGACAUCCUCCUCAUCACGGCCCCCAAAUGCGGUACCACCUGGUUGAAGGCUAUCCUCUUCUGUCUCUCAACCCGAGGCAGGUACUCAGGUUCAAUGCAACAACACCCUCUCCUCACCCAAAGCCCCCACGACCUCGUGCCGUUCUUGGAGCUCAAGCUCUACUUUGGGCAAGAGAUCCCCAACCUCACCUCGCUACCAUCCCCGAGGCUCUUCGCUACCCACUUGCCUUAUCAAUCACUCCCACAGUCGGUCAAGGACUCUGGGUGCAAGCUGGUGUACCUGUGCAGGAACCCUAAGGACACCUUCGUCUCGCUCUGGCACUUCGCCAACAAGCUGAGGUCUAAAGAGACAGGUGGGAUGCCGCUCGGAGAGUGCCUCGACGCUUUCUGCCAGGGCGUAAGCCCGUUUGGACCCUACUGGGACCACGUGCAGGGGUACUACAAGGUGAGCUUGGAGAUGCCUGACAGGGCGUUGUUCUUGAGGUACGAGGACAUGAAAGAGGACCCGCAUGCUCAUGUCAAGAGGCUCGCCGACUUCUUAGGUUGUCCAUUCGGCGAACAAGAGCUGAGAGAUGGGACCGUGGACGGCAUAGUGAGGAUGUGUAGCUUCGAUAGUUUGAGCAUGCUGGAGGUGAACAAGAGCGGGAGGUUAUCGACUGGACAAGAGACCAAGUCGUACUUUAGGAAAGGCGACGUCGGAGAUUGGGUGAAUCACAUGACUGUCGAGAUGGGGGAGAGAGUUGACCGUGUCAUGCAAGAGAAGAUGCACGGUUCAGGGUUGAAGCUUUGAUCUCAAUUUGGGUUUAUGACUAUGGCAACAAUAAUCAAUAAUGACUGUCUGUGGCCAAUGUCCGGUUGGCCUCUCAGAGUUGUACGAGUAAAUUAGUGUCAUGAUGUGCUGUAUGUUUAAUCGCAAUGUUAAAACUGUAAGAAUGUAUUUGUGCUUCUAUGAAUGCAUCGUCCUUUUUAUGUUUUUUUUCUAGUGAGAAGAUUAUGGUCCUUUAAUUCUUUUUAGCUGCCAUGAUGGGAUUUAUAAUCUAUAGUAAUUAAUUCCACAAGAUAAAAUGAUACAAUGUCAAAAUGCAAGGUAAGCCUCGCCUAGUGAGGCUCAAGCUCGCUCAAGGCCAUUGGUCGAGCUUGGGCCUUGUUAGAGGUUGGCGAGGCUCUGGGCGAUCUCAAGGGAGGCCCGAGCCCCGCCUUGCUCGUCGAAUUUGGCAAGGCUGGAGUCUCGCCGGCUUGUGGUGAGGCUCAAGCUUGCCUAAGGCCGGUCACCCCGGCGUCGUCGUGGCUAAUGAUUAGUUGAGGAAGAGGAAGAGGAAGAGGAAGAAGAAGAAGAAGAAAAUUAAAAAUUGAUUUUAAAAAAUAAAAAUAAAAACCACUAAAAAGUAGUGUAUGAAGGAAAAUAUUUUCCUUGUUGAACAACAUAAAAUAUUUGUUAGUUUUAGCCAAAUAUAAAAAAAAAAAAAAUAUUAUCAUUUUCUUAGAAAAUGACUUCCUGAAAAAUAUUUUCUAGAAACUUCAUAUUUUUUACGAAACAAAUGAAGCCUAAGUUCAGUUUUGGGAAAAUCACAACCCAAACCCAAACCCACACUAAAUAAAUAAAAUUACAACACAACUCAAACGAACAACUUUGGUUUGUUAUUGAGUUGGUUCGCUGUCACACUGGCACCAUCAAGCCAAUUUACUCGUUCUUAGGCUGUCUAAGCGUGCAAAGGAAUAAACCAUAUGAGCACCUAAUUCUACUCGUUCUUGGGAAAAGGGAAUAUGGUCACAAUUCAAUCAAACUAAUUGUCGAUAGCAUUAAAAGAUAUUAUUUAAUUAAACAUGAGUUCUCAAAAGAUCAUGAAAAACUCUUUUGUUGGUAUUAUUUGAGAUUAGAAACCAAUCAAUUAUUGCGAAUUUGAGAAGUAGAAACUUUCAUUUAAUAGUAUAGAACUGUCUUAAGAACGAACUUAUUUGGUUAGAUUUAAUGACAAAUUUUACUAGUCAGAACGCAAAUAAUUAAUAAUUAAAAUUUUCAGUUUGGUGCGAUUUUAUUGUUUUCCAAAGUUAUAGAUCAAAACCAAACAAAUAAGAAAAAAAAUCCUAAAGCAAAAUCACACCGCUACAUUUUUAUGAACCAAUUGGUUUACUUCAGCUCAUUUUAUCGAUUUUCAAUUUUUUUGUGGACACCCCCGCAAGUGGCUAAGUUGUCACUUCUUUUCUUGAAAUCACCCUCCACCCUCCCUUCCCGAGAAAACAGAAAACAAAAAACAAAAAAAUUCUGCCAAAUCUGCAUCCCCAUUUUUAAUUUUUUUUUUCUGCUCUUAUUCCUAAAACUUAAAGAGGAACCUUAGAAAUCCAAACCCUAGCCGCCGCCUCCUCCUCCUAAGCUCUUCCUCCUUGCACGGCAUCCCCAUUUUUAAUUUAUUUUUUUCUGCUCUUCUUUCUAAAACUAAAAGAGCAACCUUGGAAACCGAAAAACCCUAGCUGCCUCCUCCACCGACUUUUUGCUCAUCUUGUUUUUGGCUCUUUUGAGUGUUUUGAUAAACCCGUGUAGUUUGUUUGAACCCCUCCCUUUUUUUAUAUAUAAAAUUUACCAACCCCACCAUUAAUUAGUUUCGUCCAUGAUAACUACGAAUUUUCAAGUUCGCGCAGUAAAACCCAUGUACCCGCACCUGGAUCGGUCCCAACUUUGUUCAAUGGGGAUCUCUUUUUUCACCAAAACGGUACACUACUUUUACUGAUAAGUUGGGCUUCAGUCACUUUUUUCAGAAUGGGAUUUCCUGUUUCAAUCAUGUGAUCUCGAUGCGUGUUAGUGUCUUACAGCCUCUGUUAGAAGUAUGCCCUAAAAUUAAUUAACUAAUUAAAAAAAAAUUUAAAGCUUCAUGCAUGUGCACGAAGCAUAAUAGUCAGCGGUCGCUGACCAUUAUGCACGAAGCAUGGAUGGUCAGCAACCGCUGACCAUCAUGCCAAGAUCGUGCAUGAGCGGUUGCUCUGCUCAUGCACGAUCGUGUGCUUUGGACGAUCAGCAACGGUUGCUGAUCGUCCAUUGAUUAGCAACCGUUGCUAGUCAGUUUUUAGUAUAAAACAAUUGAGGGAUGAGAGAAAAUUAGCUGUUGAAAAAUAGAGAAAAGUGUGGGCGUGCUUCUUGUGUUUUUAGACACAUACGAGAGUAAUUUCUUUUUCUGAAAAGAGAGAGCAAAUUGUGUGCGUGUUCUUGUGUCUUUGAGACGCAAGAAAGAAGAACGUUAUCGCGUUCGGGUCGUGACUAUUAUACAUCAAGGAUACGACGGUUUGUUUCCACGUGAUUGCUAGCACGAUCGAAGUGGAGAAUAUCCAAAGGUUCUCUCUUCCGUUCGACGUUCGUUGUUGGUGUGUCUGAACUAGAGGUCCGACGCUUGUGGGACUCGAAUUGUAGAACAUCCGAACCGACUCGUUUCACAGCGCGCUUCGAGAGGUAAUUCGUUUAACUCCCUUUUAUGUUUAGAUUUUUGAUUAAAACGCACGAACAACACCUUAGGAGAAUCAUGUGUCAAAUAUAUAUUUGUUUCCGCUACGUACUUUAUGUUAAUAUUUCUUAUAUAUGAUUCAUGAAACCCCAACAGUGGUAUCAGAGCCAAACUUAGGCAUUUUUCGUGCGUUUAAUUGAUUUGUAGUUCAAAUAUAUUUUUGCGUUCUAAUGGCCAAUUUAUUUUUGUUAGGAGAAUUGGUUCUCUUACCUUUUAUGUGGCCUAUAGAAGUUGAUUGAUUUAUGUGAUAAAUUUAAUCAAUAAAGCAAAAAAUUAGAACUAAAUCAAUUUUGAAUCAAAAAUCUGUAACUUGUUAUACUUGAUGUUUAUAUUUUGCAAAUGAUAUGCAGAAUUUUAUGCAUGUCUUCCAGAGCUUUAAAUUUUGAAUUUAUGGCUCGUAAGGAAGGGUGGUGAUCAUGGAAAAAUCCCUAAUUGUUGUGAUUGUUGUAUGGAUGAAUGUAUGAUGAUUACAGGUAUUCUUUUUGGGGAUGUAAUUAUUAAAUGGAGGCUGCGUCCUUCUUUUUAUAUUUAUUUUUACGAAAUGUAAUUUAAGUAGUGUAGUAUUUCAAUUAUUGAUGUAAAUACUACAAGAGAGGAGGAGCCAUUGGAGGAGCCAUUAAACCGGUGAGCUCUCUGGGCCCGGUCUUUGAAGAGUUCAAAGAUUGAAGAAAAAGUGAAGAGCAGGUCCAUAUUAUUAAAACAUUAAAAUGGCUAAAUGGGUCUCUUUGGCUCGAGACCCAUUGAACCAUAAUUCCAUGAUCACCACAUAGGAUAUAUAUUAUGUGAUAUCUAUUUAUUUAAUGUGUUUAUGAUAUCGUGCAUGUUAAACUGGUUAAUAUGCAAAGUGAGACCGUUAAUAACGACCCAAAUCUCCUUACAAUGAAUAUUAAGUCGAAACGGGUUUCAGACUCGUGGCCUUCCAUCGUCGUGGUUUGAUCCAAUAUUAUAGUGGUUAACUAACCGGUUAUGGAUACAUAGGGGUUAAUUACCAUUUAUAAUAUUGGACCACUCCAUUAUGCAUAUGAUGCUGUGGGGUUGGAGCCAAAUGAUUUCCAAUAACUGUUAGGUGAGGGAAUCAUUUGUGUUUUCAAUACUUGCAUGAGACGAUGGGCUAGACUUAACUAUGAUCAUGAUGCCAAUAACUGUUAGGUGGGGCUUUCAUGGUCUGGAGGCCGAAGUUAUGAUUGGGAUUCGCAUAUGAUGCGUUGAACAAGCUGGUUCACUCACUAAGUUCAUAGGACACCAAUAAUUGUUAGGUGAGGUGGACUUUGGGCUAGUGGGACUCCAACCCCCACUAGUAAUUUUUACCCAACAAAGAUUACCGCUUCCCAUCUUAAGGAGUAUGGGAUUCGAAUAUAAAUUUAGUGGGAGGAUCUAUUUCAUUUAAAGACCAAAAUGAAAUAGUUAUUAUAAAAAGUACAACGGCUAACAAUUUAUUUUCUGCAACAGAUAUAUUAUUACUCUGAAAAAUGGUAACCACAAACCCACUCACUUCUGUACUUGACAAGAAUUGUUUGACUGGACCUAAUUUCACUGACUGGGUGAGGAAUUUGAGAAUUGUUCUCAAUUCAGAAAAAAUUGGGUAUGUGCUUGAUGAAAAGAUGCCAACCUCCUUUCCUGAGGGUGGGACCCAAGAGGAGCGUGUUACUUAUGAUAAGUGGCGUGAUGAUGACUUAAAAGUUAGGUCAUAUAUGCUUGCUUCUAUGAAUAAUGAAUUACAGAAGAAGUAUGAAUCUAUGGAAGAUGCUGGGUCGAUCAUUUUGCACUUAAAGGAAUACUUUGAUGAGAAUGGUCGAACCUCUAGAUAUAAGAUAUCCAAGGCAUUGUACCGUAUGAGGAUGGCUGAAGGAUCAUCUGUUAAUGAUCAUGCUUUGAAAAUGAUCUGGCACAUUGAAGAAUUGGCAAGGCUGAAUCUCAUUAUGGACAAUGAGUUAGCUGUGGAUUUGAUCCUCCAAUCUUUACCCGAUUCCUUCUCUGGUUUUGUCCAAAACUUCCACAUGCAUAAGAUGGAGAAAACUCUUGCUGAGUUACAUAGCAUGCUGGUAGUUUAUGAGAAGGAAAUGCAUAACACGAGGCCAAAUGUAGUGGCUAUGGCUAAGGCUUCUUCUUCAAAGGGUAAGAUUGUUUUAAAGAAGAAUAAAUGGAAGAGGCCUACCAAACCUGUUGUGCAACCAAAACCCAUGAUUGAUAAAGGGAAAUGUCAUUACUGUGGUGUCAAAGGGCACUGGAGGAGGAACUGUAAGAGGUACCUCGCGAGCUUGAAUGUCAAGCCCAAGAACCGGCCUUAUGAAGGUAUGGUGUCUAUGCUUAUUGAAACCAAUCUUAUGGUUAGUGCUGAAUCCAGCUCAUGGGUUCUAGAUUCUGCUGCAACUUCACAUAUUUGUAUGUCUUUGCAGAAUCUGAAAAUAAGCAGGAUGCUAAGACGAAAUGAGAUUGUCCUGACGUUUGCCAAUGGAGCAAGAGUUGCUGCAUUAGCUAUAGGGACUUUUCAUUUAUGUUUGCCUUCUGGACAUGUAAUGUUUUUAAAGAACUGUUUGCAUUAUAAGAAUGCUGUUAGGAACAUCAUCUCUAUACCUCGUUUGGGUAAAGAGAAUUAUGAAUUUUCUUUUGCUGAUGAUGUAUGUUCUAUUUAUCAUAAUAGAAUAUGUGUUGGUUCUAGCUUAUUAACCAACAAUCUUUAUACCAUUACAAUGUCCGGUAAUGCGAUUACCAAUGUCAAUAAGCAAAAUAGAAUUGAUAUAAAUGCCAUAACUAAUAAACGCCCUAGAGACGAUCCAAAUAAAAAGUAUGUUUGGCAUCUCCAAUUAGGUCAUAUUGGAGAAGACAGAAUUAACAAGUUGAGUAAUGAUGGAUACAUUGAUUCUUCAAAUUUUGAGUCAUACUCGACUUGUGAGGCAUGUCUUCUAGGAAAAAUGACCAAAGCGCCUUUUGUGGGACAAAGUGUGCGAGCUGCUAACAUAUUAGAAUUAAUACAUACAGAUGUAUGUGGACCAAUUAAUGAAACUGCUAGAGGUGGUUAUAAUUACUUCAUUACCUUCAUCGAUGAUCAUUCACGGUAUGGUUAUUUAUACCUCAUGAAGUAUAAAUCUGAAUCCUUUGAAAAGUUCAAGGAAUUCAAGGCUGAAGUUGAGAAACAAACAGGAAAAUGUAUUAAGGCUCUUCGAUCGGAUCGAGGAGGUGAAUACCUUAGUACUGAAUUCCUGGACUAUCUUAAAGAGAAUGGCAUUUUAUCACAAUGGACACCUCCUGGAACUCCAGAACAUAAUGGUGUAUCUGAACGAAUAAAUCGUACUUUAUUAGAUAUGGUACGAUCUAUGAUGAGUUACACUGAUUUACCAAUUUCCCUUUGGGGAUAUGCCCUUGAGACAGCUGUAUAUAUACUGAAUAGAGUGCCGUCCAAAUCUGUUCCAACUACGCCCUAUGAGAUAUGGCAUAGUAGGAAACCCAGUCUUAAUCAUAUUAAGAUUUGGGGUUGUCCAGCUUUCAUGAAAAAGCUAAAAAUGGAAAAAUUGGAGGCAAGAUCUGAACAAUGUCGCUUCAUUGGAUAUCCAAAGGAAACUCUUGGAUAUUAUUUCUAUUUUCAUUCAAACCAAAGAAUUUUGGUAUGCAAGCAUGCUUCUUUUUUGGAGAAUCAGUUCAUCCAAGAAAGUGGUGCUGGGCGGAAAAUAGUCUUACAAGAAGAAAAUAAUGAAGUGCCAAACUACCGAGUUCAGAUACCAAUCUCUGAUUCAGUGGGAGCUUCUAAUACACAACCUCUUAGGAGAAGUGCGAGAACGUCUCGCCCACCUGCUCGUUAUAGACACUCGGUUGAUCAUAUUGAACCAUUAUUCAUUGUGAAUGAUAGUGAUCAACCCGGUGAUCCUAAAACCUAUGAGGAGGCGAUGUUGGACAUCGAUUCUGGUAAAUGGCUAGAGGCCAUGAAAUCCGAAAUGGAUUCAAUGUAUUCCAAUGAGGUUUGGACCUUGACUGACCUGCCUGAUGGUAUUGUACCAAUUGGCUGUAAAUGGAUCUUCAAGAGGAAGAUGAAUGUUGAAGGUCAAAUUGGAAUUUACAAAGCACGGCUGGUGGCGAAAGGAUAUCGUCAAAAAGAAGGAAUUGAUUAUGACGAAACUUUCUCACCUGUGGCCAUGCUAAAAUCCAUUCGGAUUAUGUUGGCUAUAGCUGCACACCUUGAUUAUGAGAUAUUCCAGAUGGAUGUCAAAACGGCUUUUCUAAAUGGUUUUCUCAAUGAGGACAUCUAUAUGGAACAGCCACAGGGUUUUGAAUCCAAUAGUGAAAAACAGAAGGUGUGUAAGCUUAAGAGAUCCAUUUAUGGACUCAAACAAGCCUCCAGAAGUUGGAACAUCCGUUUUGAUGAGGUAGUCAAAUCGUUUGGUUUCAUUAAAAAUCCAAAUGAACCUUGUGUAUACAAGAAGAUCAGUGGGAGUGCAAUUGCAUUUCUAGUUUUGUAUGUCGAUGAUAUACUUUUGAUUGGAAAUGAUGUACCAAUGAUAUCAUCGAUAAAACUAUUAUUGUCACAGAAAUUCUCCAUGAAAGAUUUAGGAGAGGCAACCUACAUUUUAGGUAUCAAGAUCUAUAGAGAUAGAUCAAGACGAUUGAUUAGCCUCUCACAAUCUACGUACAUAGACAAAGUGUUAACACGGUUUAACAUGCAAUGUUCCAAGAGAGGAUUAUUGCCUUUUAGGCAAGGGAUCCGUCUUUCUAAGGAGAUGUGUCCCAACACUCCUGAAGAAAGAGAGCGGAUGGCAAAGAUACCAUAUGCAUCUGCUAUUGGAAGCAUAAUGUAUGCUAUGCUAUGUACUAGACCUGAUAUUGCGCAUGUUGUAAGUAUUACUAGCAGAUAUCAGUCUGAUCUAGGAGAAGAGCACUAGAUAGCAGUCAAGAAUAUUCUUAAGUACUUACGAAGGACUAAAGAUUUAUUCUUGAUAUAUGGAGAAGGAGAAUUUAAAGUUGUAGCUUAUACUGAUUCUGAUUUUCAAUCGGAUCCUAAUGAUUAUAAGUCUACGUUUGGGUUUGUCUUUACAUUCAAUGGUGGUGCAGUUAGUUGGAAAAGUUCCAAACAAAGUAUAACUGCCGAUUCCACUACUGAAGUAGAGUAUGUAGCUGCUUCUGAAGCAGCAAAGGAAGCCGCUUAUAUGAAGAAGUUUAUUUCUGAACUUGGAGUUGUUCCUUCAAUUGAGCAACCGAUCACAUUGUUUUGUGACAACAAUGGGGCGAUAGCUCAAGCUAAGGAACCAAGGUCUCACCAGAAGUCCAAGCACAUUGAGAGACGCUUCCAUCUCAUCAGAGAAAUUGUUGGGAGAGGUGAUAUCGCCUUGCAGAAAAUUGCCUCAGCAGAAAAUGUGGCAGAUCCCUUCACUAAGGCCUUAUCUCAGUCUUCUUUUGAAAAACAUAUUGAUAAAAUGGGUUUGAGGUACCAGACAAGUUGGCUUUAGUGCAAGAGAGAAAUUGUUAGAUGUAUGCCCUAAAGAUGCUAUGUAAUAGUUACAUAUUAGGGAUUUCAGUUGUAUUUUCAUUAUUAUUAUUAAUGGCAAUGACGUAUUCAUUCAUUUGUCCAAUUAUUUUAUAUUAAUGAAUGAUUCCAUAAGAUCAGUUGCAACUAGACCUGUUCUUGAGACGUCAAGAAUAUAUGUGACUGGUUCAUAGUUAGACUGAAUCUUUAAAUCGUUCCCGGUCGAUGGAUUAUUGAGUGGAUAUUAAUAAUCCUGUUGAGGCCGGUGUGUUCUUAACUUCGCCAUUAAGUAUUGGAUACUUAAGGGAAUGAUGAGUCACAUGUCAUUGGGUAUUAUGAUGCCUGAGUUAGAACACAGGUGUUUGUAUUAGACAAAUUCACUGAACGUGACGCAUAUGGAACGAUUAGCGACAUGGAAGCUUUUAGCGUGGUCAAUGUCUAAUUGUUCAUGCUUUGGUCUUGUGUAAAUAAUCCUUAGACCUGAGGCACAGUGUUAACUUGUGUAUCAAACAACUAUGGUUCACGGGUGCACAUAAUGCCGGGUCGUCGAUCCGUCUUUAUACUUGAUGGUCAUAGUUUGUUCAUAUAUGAAGUUACACGUGUGCGCAAUAUGGAAUAUGUCUCCUUGUUAUAUGCAAUGUAUGAUAAUGAUGUCCUAUGCGAUCUAAUUGUGACACUGCAUUGAAAUCCUCGGCCGGGGUUGUAAUCGAAAAUAAAUUGUUUAUGUCUCAAAUAAAAUGCAUGUCAAUUAGAUUUGUGCAUAUGAUCGAAUUAAUGACUUGACAAAUAUUCCAUGGUCUUUGUUUGAUCGGGACAUAGUAAGACAGAGGGAUUGAAUUACACUGUAGCCAAAGCUGACAGGUUCAUUAUGUUCUUAAAGUAUUCACACUAUCUGGGUAGCCAUAACAUAUUGCUAGAUAUCAAUCGUGGCUUGUAGGACCUAAAAGAUUAAUCGGGACAAUUAAUUCUUUUGGAAGUACUAAUUUGUUAGUACAAGUCUUACUACCAGCUUAGUGAUAAACCUAGGGAUGUCACACACCAUAAACAAUUAGGAUGACGUGGAACAAGAGAGAAAUAUUAUUGCAAAUGUAUUUGCAAUUACUGCAAUCGAAUUGAGUCGAUUUGAAAUUAAAUUAAAUGAGAUUUAAUUUAAUUUGUAUUAUAGUCACGAGCCUACUUGCAUAUGAUGUACACGCAUGCCCAAAGUGGAUAUAUGUUAACAUAUCAAACAAGUUGGCUUUAGUGCAAGUGGGAGAUUGUUAGAAGUAUGCCCUAAAAUUAAUUAACUAAUUAAAAAAAAAAUUAAAGCUUCAUGCAUGUGCACGAAGCAUAAUGGUCAGCGGUUGCUGACCAUUAUGCACGAAGCAUGGAUGGUCAGCAACCGCUGACCAUCAUGCCAAGAUCGUGCAUGAGCGGUUGCUCAUGCACGAUGGUCGUGCAUGAGCAACCACUCAUGCACAAUCGUGUGCUUUGGACGAUCAGCAACGGUUGCUGAUCGUCCAUUGAUUAGCAACCGUUGCUGGUUAGUUUUUAGUAUAAAACAAUUGAGGGAUGAGAGAAAAUUAGCUGUUGAAAAACAGAGAAAAGUGUGGGCGUGCUUCUUGUGUUUUUAGAGACAUACGAGAGUAAUUUCUUUUUCUGAAAAGAGAGAGCAAAUUGUGUGCGUGUUCUUGUGUCUUUGAGACGCAAGAAAGAAGAACGUUAUCGCGUUCGGGUCGUGACUAUUAUACAUUAAGGAUACGACGGUUUGUUUCCACGUGAUUGUUAGCACGAUCGAAGUGGAGAAUAUCCGAAGGUUCUCUCUUCCGUUCGACGUUCGUUGUUGGUGUGUCUGAACUAGAGGUUCGACGCUUGUGGGACUCGAAUUGUAGAACAUCCGAACCGACUCGUUUCAAAGCGCGCUUCGAGAGGUAAUUCGUUUAACUCCCUUUUAUGUUUAGAUUUUUUAUUAAAACGCACGAACAACACCUUAGGAGAAUCAUGUGUCAAAUAUAUAUUUGUUUCCGCUGCGUACUUUAUGUUAAUAUUUCUUAUACAUGAUUCAUGAAACCCCAACAGCCUCUAUAUGCCUUUUCAGAUUUCUAACGUUAUUCCGGAGCAAUAAUGGUCCAGCAAUGAAUCUUCUCAUGCAAUAAGCCUCUGUAUCUAACGUCACCAUCGAAAGCUAGUUGAUUGUCAUGCACUAGAGAAAGUAAUGCCUACAAACUUCAGCAUUUUUUAUCUUUACUGGUUGAGAUGGAGAUCUUAGUUACAGAAUAUUUAAAGCCAGUGUCGGUCGACCUAACAAGGUCAGCUUAGAUUAUUUUAAGCGAUGAUUAUAAGGUACAUGAAUACGAGUAUCUGAUAUUGAACAGCAAGCAGAAAAAAGACUUGUUUUCGUUUAGAUGCUUUAUUUCUAAUUUUCUCUCAAAAGAAAAUGACGACCGCAGCGUCUCCGAACUUCCGUCGAUUAUCGGGGUUUGCAAUAUGCAAGGAAUGUUGACAGUGUCACAGUAUUACAUGCCAUAACCUCCCUUAUUAGUUUUCAGCAAGCAUGUCGAAAAUUUUCAAAAGACAAUGAACAUUAUUUAUUGAUUUCUGAUAUCAAGUAUCAACGUGAUGUUUUCUAAAAUGUUUUUUCCGUAAGAAGAUUCAUUCAAAUAACCUAGCCCGUCCACUUUUGUAGGAGUUGGAUUUAGAUUUCUUGCAUCUUGUUUCAUGGAGCAAAUGCAUCGUCCCGGCAGUCAUAGUAACCGAUUUAUUCUCAUAGAUUUAAUGAGUGAUGCUAGGAUGUUAUAUACGCACAGAAAUAAUCUAUGUGGUAAGUUCGAAUAAAUAGGACACACCGAAGAAUUUAAAGCGGGAGAGAUUUAUUUGUGUAUUAGUAAUACAGAAGUUGCAGAUGAUGCGAGGAGUAGCGAAAGUAUAUUCAACAUCUUUUUACAUAAAGAUGCGAUUAGAUAUCUAAAUGUAGUGUAUAAAAAAAAAGAUCAAUUUGACCGAAUAAGGUGUAUGUACAAGAUGAACAUAGCAUAAAACAACCGUAUAUGUGAAAAGAAAAAAAGAGAAGGCAUCGGCUAUAGCCUUUUCGAAGGAUUUCUAACUUAAUUCAGGAGCAAUAAUAGACCAGCUAUAUGAAUCUUCUAAUGCAAUGAGCCUCUCUAUUUAACGUCAUCACUGAAACCCUAAGCUAACAGCCUAACCCCCUUUCUUCCCCUUCAUCGAGCCCAUAUUAGCUAUAACAACCCUUCACUCUGUAAUUCUCCCUCUCUUCCUCCAUGACACCCACUCAACCUCAGCAAGCAAAGUACUUGCAAGAAGAUGACAUCUCCCAGAAAUGCCGAGACCUCCUUCCCUUGCUCCCCCGCGAAAAGGGCUGGAUCACCACCUCUAUCUACCAGUACCAAGGCUUCUGGUAUUGCCCAAAGGUCUUGAGCGGCCUCCUCGCUUGCCAAGACCACUUCCAAGCCCAAGACACCGACGUCCUCCUCAUCACUGCCCCUAAGUCUGGCACCACUUGCUUGAAGGCCACCCUCUUCGAUGCAACACCAUCCUCUCCUCACCCAAAGCCCUCACAACCUCGUGCCCUUCUUA
rnacentral:lncRNA from 1 species